AAGAAAAYAGUUCAGCACUAAGUCACUUUGUCUUUAAUGGCAAAUGUGAGAUGCAGUGUAUGGAAUGUUCAAUUCUAGUAUGAGAAAUUAGCGAUUUAAGUCCUUCUUAAAUGAGGCCAUUUACCCAAAGAGGGUGCUAGGCCCGUAUAACGUUAAUGAUUACUAGAGAACAAUUCCAAAGAGUCGUGUUGCUUGAUAGUGCAGCACUAAGUGGGUGGUAAACUCCAUCUAAAACUAAAUAUAACCAUGAGACCGAUAGUAAACAAGUACCGUGAGGGAAAGUUGAAAAGAACUCUGAAUAGAGAGUUAAAUAGUACGUGAAACUGCUUAGAGGUUAAGCCCGAUGAACCCGAAUAUCCAUUAUGGAAAAUUCAUCAUUAUGAAWUWWKRWWWUUWAWWAAWAUAUUAUAUUAAUGGUGUGCAUUUUUUCCAUAUAAGGACAUUGUAAUCUAUUAAYAUUAAAAUUUAUCAUAAARUCAUURGCUUUAAAGUUUAUUCAAAUUAUUAUGCUUGCAUUUUAACAYAGAAUAAWUGCUUUUGAUUUGAUAGAUUGUUGAUAGAUUUAUAUUUAUAUAGUGCUUAAAUAUAUUUWUAUAUUUUAUAAUAGCAUAWWAAWYMAWWRAUUUUUAUGUUUAUUAUAUGCACUUAUAUGAUUUACAAUGCGAAAGAUUCGGGAUACCUUCGGGACCCGUCUUGAAACACGGACCAAGGAGUCUAACAUAUUUGCRAGUUAUUGGGUUYUUUAAAAACCUAAUAGCGAAAUUAACAUGACAAAAUUAAUAUGGGAUUAGUUAUUAGUUCUWYKKAAUACAGCAUACUYUAGACUAUUAAUUCAAUCCCGGGGCGUUCUAUACAGUUAUGUAUAAUAAUAUUUAUAUUAUUUAUACCUCUAACUAGAACGUACCUUGAGCAUAUAUGCUGUAACCCGAAAGAUGGUGAACUAUACUUGAUCAGGUUGAAGUCAGGGGAAACCCUGAUGGAAGACCGAAACAGUUCUGACGUGCAAAUCGAUUGUCAGAAUUGAGUAUAGGGGCGAAAGACCAAUCGAACCAUCUAGUAGCUGGUUCCCUCCGAAGUUUCCCUCAGGAUAGCUGGUGCAUUUAAAAUUUAUGUAAAAUAAUCUUAUCUGGUAAAGCGAAUGAUUAGAGGCCUUAGGGUCGAAACGAUCUUAACCUAUUCUCAAACUUUAAAUGGGUAAGAACCUCACCUUUCUUGGUAUGAAGGUUGUGGUUGUGAUAUAAUGUGCCCAGUGGGCCACUUUUGGUAAGCAGAACUGGCGCUGUGGGAUGAACCAAACGUAAUGUUACGGUGCCCAAAUUAACAACUCAUGCAGAUACCAUGAAAGGCGUUGGUUGCUUAAAACAGCAGGACGGUGGACAUGGAAGUCGCAAUCCGCUAAGGAGUGUGUAACAACUCACCUGCCGAAGCAACUAGCCCUUAAAAUGGAUGGCGCUUAAGUUGUAUACCUAUACAUUACCGCUAAAGUAAAUGGUUGAAAUUCAAUUUAUUUGGAUUUGUAAACUUUAAAACUUUAGUGAGUAGGAGGGUACAAUGGUGAGCGUAGAAGUGUUUGGCGUAAGCCUGCAUGGAGCCGCCAUUGGUACAGAUCUUGGUGGUAGUAGCAAAUAAUCGAAUGAGACCUUGGAGGACUGAAGUGGAGAAGGGUUUCGUGUGAACAGUGGUUGAUCACGAGUUAGUCGGUCCUAAGUUCAAGGCGAAAGCUGAAAAUUUUCAAGUUAUAUAUUAAUAAUGUAUAUUUAUAUAUAUAUAUAUAWAUAAUGUAUAAAACACUUGAAAWUAAUUGAACGAAAGGGAAUACGGUUCCAAUUCCGUAACCUGUUGAGUAUCCGUUUGUUUAUUAAAUGUGGGCCUUGUGCUCAUCCUGGCAACAGGAACGACCAUAAAGAAGCCGUCGAGAGAUAUCGGAAGAGUUUUCUUUUCUGUUUUAUAGUCGUACUACCAUGGAAGUCUUUCGAAGAGAGAUAUGGUAGAUGGGCUAGAAGAGCAUGACAUUUACUGUUGUGUCGAUAUUUUCUCCUCGGACCUUGAAAAUUUAUGGUGGGGUCACGCAAACUUCUCAACAGGCCGUACCAAUAUCCGCAGCUGGUCUCCAAGGUGAAGAGUCUCUAGUC
rnacentral:rRNA from 1 species